AUUUUUCAAAUGGGUAUAAGGCAAUGGUUUUCAAGCUUUUCCACAUUGCACACCUAACCCCAUAGACACAAAAUCAAAUAGAAAUUAUACACUCAUGAUUGAAGCAAAAGUGUUAUGAGAUAAAAGUUACCCUUAGGACAUGUAAUAAGAUCUGAUAUUUUACAAUUCCUUUCUUUUUCAUUAAAGAAUGAGCUUGUUGGAUCCUACCCUUGCAUAAAGCUGAAAACCAACAUUUGUGAACAAUGGCAGGUGGCUGCGUGUCAAGGAUGCGGACCUGACUUCAAAGAGCUCACUGACAUCAGAAAGCGGCUUGAGACUGAGGACCCAGGAGAUGCCAGCCCAGCUCAGGGCAGCCUCUUCCAUUCCAAGGGUGCUGGAGAGGUGAGGACAGCUGCUCAUUUCACCUAUAAACUCUGCAGUGAGCAACCAAGAACCCCAAGACUACAAGGGGAUUUGAACAAUAAGUUCGGUCCUGUCACUCCCCCUCCUUCCAUAAGCUGCACUCAAGAAG
rnacentral:lncRNA from 1 species